rnacentral:rRNA from 1 species
AAAUUGAAGAGUUUGAUCAUGGCUCAGAUUGAACGCUGGCGGCAGGCCUAACACAUGCAAGUCGAACGGUAACAGGAAACAGCUUGCUGUUUUGCUGACGAGUGGCGGACGG